rnacentral:rRNA from 1 species
UACGUAGGGGGCAAGCGUUGUCCGGAAUCAUUGGGCGUAAAGAGCGUGUAGGCGGUUCGGUAAGUCGGCUGUGAAAGUCCAGGGCUCAACCCUGGGAUGCCGGUCGAUACUGCCGGACUAGAGUUCGGAAGAGGCGAGUGGAAUUCCCGGUGUAGCGGUUAAAUGCGCAGAUAUCGGGAGGAACACCUAUGGCGAAGGCAGCUCGCUGGGACGUUACUGACGCUGAGACGCGAAAGCGUGGGGAGCAAACAGG